CCCAGGGCUCACGCCCUGGGCUAAAUUCUUUCGCCCUUUCAGGGCU
rfam:Acidobacteria bacterium RIFCSPLOWO2_02_FTLL_60_20 rifcsplowo2_02_scaffold_63531, whole genome shotgun sequence.